UUUGACUGGGGAAGCAAGGCCAA
rnacentral:piRNA from 1 species